AGCAGCCGCGGUAAUUCCAGCUCCAAUAGCGUAUAUUAAAGUUGUUGCAGUUAAAAAGCUCGUAGUUGAAUUUCGGGAUCAAUUUAUUGGUCGUGCUAUUGUACGUACUGGUAUUAUUGAUUCCUACCUUCUGACGAACCAUGAUGUCAUUAAUUUGGUGUCUUGGGGAAUCAGGACUGUUACUUUGAAAAAUUAGAGUGUUUAAAGCAGGCUCACGCUUGAAUACAUUAGCAUGGAAUAACGAAAUAGGACGUUUGAUUCUAUUUUGUUGGUUUCUAGGAUCGACGUAAUGAUUAAUAGGGAUAGUUGGGGGCAUUAGUAUUCAAUUGUCAGAGGUGAAAUUCUUGGAUUUAUUGAAGACUAACUACUGCGAAAGCAUUUGCCAAGGAUGUUUUCAUUAAUCAAGAACGAAAGUUAGGGGAUCGAAGACGAUCAGAUACCGUCGUAGUCUUAACCAUAAACUAUGCCGACUAGGGAUCGGAUGAUGUUAAUUUUUAAUGUACUCAUUCGGCGCC
rnacentral:rRNA from 1 species